CCUACGGGAGGCAGCAGUGGGGAAUUUUGGACAAUGGGCGAAAGCCUGAUCCAGCAAUGCCGCGUGAGUGAAGAAGGCCUUCGGGUUGUAAAGCUCUUUUGUCAGGGAAGAAACGGUGAGAGCUAAUAUCUUUUGCUAAUGACGGUACCUGAAGAAUAAGCACCGGCUAACUACGUGCCAGCAGCCGCGGUAAUACGUAGGGUGCAAGCGUUAAUCGGAAUUACUGGGCGUAAAGCGUGCGCAGGCGGUUUUGUAAGUCUGAUGUGAAAUCCCCGGGCUCAACCUGGGAAUUGCAUUGGAGACUGCAAGGCUAGAAUCUGGCAGAGGGGGGUAGAAUUCCACGUGUAGCAGUGAAAUGCGUAGAUAUGUGGAGGAACACCGAUGGCGAAGGCAGCCCCCUGGGUCAAGAUUGACGCUCAUGCACGAAAGCGUGGGGAGUAAACAGGAUUAGAUACCCUGGUAGUCCACGCCCUAAACGAUGUCUACUAGUUGUCGGGUCUUAAUUGACUUGGUAACGCAGCUAACGCGUGAAGUAGACCGCCUGGGGAGUACGGUCGCAAGAUUAAAACUCAAAAGGAAUUGACCGGCUGAGACGAGCGACGGACGACGACGAGGGAGGAGG
rnacentral:rRNA from 1 species